rnacentral:rRNA from 1 species
AACAAACGCUGGCGGCGUGCCUAAUACAUGCAAGUCGAACGGGGAAAGCUUUCGGGUGAGUACUAGUGGCGCACGGGUGAGGAACGCGUGGAUAAUCUGCCUUAGAGUGGGGGAUAACUAGUCGAAAGAUUAGCUAAUACCGCAUAAGACCACAGGAGCUGCGGCUCAAGGGGUCAAAGGUUUUUCGCUCUAAGAUGAGUCCGCGUAAGAUUAGCAAGUUGGUGAGGUAACGGCUCACCAAGGCGACGAUCUUUAACUGGUCUGAGAGGAUGAUCAGUCACACUGGAACUGAGACACGGUCCAGACUCCUACGGGAGGCAGCAGUAGGGAAUAUUGCACAAUGGAGGAAACUCUGAUGCAGCGACGCCGCGUGAGUGAUGAAGGCCUUCGGGUCGUAAAGCUCUGUCGCAGGGGAAUAACACAAUGAGUGUACCCUGUAAGAAAGGAUCGGCUAACUUCGUGCCAGCCGCCGCGGUAAGAC